rnacentral:rRNA from 1 species
UACGAAGGGGGGCUAGCGUUGCUCGGAAUCACUGGGCGUAAAGCGCACGUAGGCGGGUUGUUAAGUCGGGGGGUGAAAUUCUGGAGCUCAACUCCAGAACUGCCUUCGAUACUGGCGACCUUGAGUCCGGGAGAGGUGAGUGGAACUCCGAGUGUAGAGGUGAAAUUCGUAGAUAUUCGGAAGAACACCAGUGGCGAAGGCGGCUCACUGGCCCGGUACUGACGCUGAGGUGCGAAAGCGUGGGGAGCAAACAGG